GAUGAACGCUGGCGGCGUGCCUAAUACAUGCAAGUCGAGCGAACGGACGAGAAGCUUGCUUCUCUGAUGUUAGCGGCGGACGGGUGAGUAACACGUGGAUAACCUACCUAUAAGACUGGGAUAACUUCGGGAAACCGGAGCUAAUACCGGAUAAUAUUUUGAACCGCAUGGUUCAAAAGUGAAAGACGGUCUUGCUGUCACUUAUAGAUGGAUCCGCGCUGCAUUAGCUAGUUGGUAAGGUAACGGCUUACCAAGGCAACGAUGCAUAGCCGACCUGAGAGGGUGAGCGGCCACACUGGAACUGAGACACGGACCAGACUCCUACGGGAGGCAGCAGUAGGGAAUCUUCCGCAAUGGGCGAAAGCCUGACGGAGCAACGCCGAGUGAGUGAUGAAGGUCUUCGGAUCGUAAAACUCUGUUAUUAGGGAAGAACAUAUGUGUAAGUAACUGUGCACAUCUUGACGGUACCUAAUCAGAAAGCCACGGCUAACUACGUG
rnacentral:rRNA from 1 species